rnacentral:rRNA from 1 species
UAUUGGAGCGGUUAGUGGCGGACUGGUGAGUAACACGUAAGCAACCUGCCUAUCAGAGGGGAACAACAGUUAGAAAUGACUGCUAAUACCGCAUAUGCCUUGAGUAUCACAUGGUACAAAAGGGAAAGGAGCAAUCCGCUGAUAGAUGGGCUUGCGUCUGAUUAGAUAGUUGGUGAGGUAACGGCCCACCAAGUCGACGAUCAGUAGCCGGACUGAGAGGUUGAACGGCCACAUUGGGACUGAGAUACGGCCCAGACUCC